CUUCGUCCAUCGCAAACACCACGCACUUCACAGAGGGACAACAAACCGCGACUGGCGUGACGCGACCGUGAAUGGCGGCCUUAACACACCUGAACUGUACUGAAAUUUGACAACUGAUACACUGCGUCUGAAUAGUAAGCAAAUGUAACCUGUGCACCUGCGCCAAAACCAGAAUGUUGCCAACGCUAGUCUUCUAAGAAGUCCGCUCCAGACUCCUAAUAUCCCUGGCGCUUGUUACACACUGGCCAAACAGUUCACAUCACACCCACCAGAGAGAGUCAGAAUGCGCAAUCAGGACUGAACCAUUAGUUCGACACGGCUCAACAUAGAGCAGAAUGUUCAAAUGCGUUAGUGACCAGCGCCAGUGUUUUUUAACGUGUCGAGAUUUUUUAUCCCAAGUCGUCCGAACACGAAAUUCUUUGAUGUAAGGAUUCACACUAAUAAUACAUUGUGGCAGAGCUGAAAGAGCACCAUGCUAUAUAUGUUUUAUGUGGGCGGUGCCCUUUGUGUGGACAGAAAGAGAGAGUUUGCACAGUCUCAUAAUUCACCCUUUUUGGGUGUUCGUCACGUUAUAGCCUGGGCGAGAAACAAUGUAUGCGCUCGUUCACAUCUGUCCAACUGCUGUGCAACUGUGUGGCCAUGUGCGCAAGAAUUACCUAAGGCCUUUGUUAGAAGACUAAGUUGCUCAACAAUGGCCCCGGGAUCGCUUUAGUACAAUGACUGAAGAAGCAACAAUUAAAUCGGAUUGCAUUAGUGCAACAACGAUCUACGCGAUGCUGCGUAAAGAACGCCUUUGGUGUGCCUGUGAGCUGUAAAGAUUACGUCUUCCCAAUCGUUGUCUCUUUCUGCCAUUUUGUCUAUUUCACUGGUAGAGGCUUUUUACCUUUCGCUUUCUACAAACUUACUGUGCUCUGUGGAACAAUUUUAUUUAAAUAAUAUUUAACAAUCAUCGUGUGUCGAUGUUUCACAAACCCAGACCGAAAAGAUUUCCUUAUUUCCACUAUCUGCUUGUCAACAAUAAUAUUCCUUUUGGUAAACGUCUUGUUCAGAUUACCAAAAUCUCUGAAAUGUACCUACCCAUUUUAAUAGCAUUACAGUGAUGCUUAAUUCUA